ACACUGAUAGCCUCAUGAAGCAGGUUUUCUCCUGAGAAAACUAAGCCCUGUGGGAGCUCUUGGAGAGGAUUUCACAUGAACAAAGAAAAGAGAUCACGGUGAAGUUCUGAUCUGCACAGAUGUGUCUCCUUGCGAGUCUUGUCGUGAUGUUCCAGCUGCAAUGACGAGUGCCUUUCACCUUCUUUUAUACCACCCCAGAAACCACAGAAACAAUAGAAAUGAUCUCUACAGCACUUUGUGACUAAGACCUUUCCUCUCGUGUCAGUGAAAUGAGACAGCUCCCUGUUUCCAGUGAUAAUAAAUCUUGGAUUCUAAAAUGUUCUGUUCAGCUGUGACUAAGGAAAAGA